UACAGAGGUCUCAAGCGUUGUUCGGAUUCAUUGGGCGUAAAGGGUGUGUAGGUGGCGCCGUAAGUCGGGUGUGAAAUUUCGGAGCUUAACUCCGAAACUGCAUUCGAUACUGCGGUGCUUGAGGACUGGAGAGGAGACUGGAAUUCUCGGUGUAGCGGUGAAAUGCGUAGAUAUCGAGAGGAACACCUGCGGCGAAGGCGGGUUGCUGGGCUGACACUGACGCUGAUGCGCGAAAGCUAGGGGAGCGAACGGG
rnacentral:rRNA from 1 species